UCCCUGCCAAGAAAAUUAAUUAUCGAUGAAUUAAUUAGUAUGCUUUGAAGCAGCAAUCUUAUUCUUAAGAACAAAGAUCGUAACAAUGAGUCCAAGGUCUGUUGCAAAUGAAGAAUUACUUCAGGGGAGCUAGCUAAGAGUCCAACAGUAUCAUGCUUGGCCCUGCCGUAAGAGUGCAUAACAGCAUAAGAGAUCGACUAAUAUGCAGUUUGAACUACUUUUAAUCUUUAGCCUUUAUUAAAAACCGAGUAGGUUUGUACUUCUGUAACACCCCGAGAUUUUCUGAUGUCAUUAAUUAGUAUUUUAAUAACUUUUGGGGAUUUUAUAAUUAUGUUAAAUUAAUUUAGAAGUAGUUUUAAUAAACUCUUUUCAUAUACGAAUUCAAAUAUUAACAUAUAUUUAUAUUAAAAAUACAAUUAUAAUUUCUAAAUAAAGACGUUCGAAUCAAAAUAAUUAUUUUAUUAAAAUGAGUGAGCACACGAAAGUGAGUCUCUUAGUUGGGUCUCGCAAGAAAAUAAAUCUAGAUAAAUAAAUAAAUAAGUGUAUAUAUUAAAUAAAUAGGAUGAGUUAGAGUUUUAAGGGGUAUUACUCCCUCCCACACUCAAUUCACACGCCGUCACUCCCCCUCUCUUCUCUUCUCUCUUUCUCUUCUCCCUUUCCCCUUGUUGUGCCGCCAAUAGCUGGCUCUCUAUCAGCUGCUCACGACCAGCCUCAGUUCACCACCAUCAGGCCGCCUGCCUUUUUCCCUCCACCGUGAGCAGCCACCAAGCAAGGUAGACCCUCUUCCUCCCCACGAACAAUCAUGAGCAGCAGGUGGUUGUGUCGCCUGUUCCCAGCUGCGAGCAGAGCUGCGUGUUGCUCUCACAGCAGCUGGCGGCCCCUAGUGCCACCAACUCCCCACCUUGGUCCUCCACCACCACAACAACCACCUAAAAUCUUACCCUUUUCUAGUUCCUCCAUUGUGCCCAUUUCGUAAGAGGAAAGUAGAGCCUUAGUUGGAUGAUUUUGUGACUUUUGAUCGUGCAGUGACGCUUACAGCAGGAGGAUCAUAGAACAGGCGUACCAGGUACUGGAGCUUCAAUUGCAUUGCAUUGCAUUGGGAGAGAGUGAUAAGGGCGAAGCAUAACCCGUGUCAUACUGCUAUCUUUCGAUUUUGUAGCUCUGGUUAUCUUUUGUAAACUUUGGUUGUAUAUGUUUUGUUAUGAGGCCUUGUGUCCUUCCUCGUAUAUUGUAUUUCCGCUGCGUAGUUAAUAACUCUGUAUGGUUUUAAGGAAUUAAGUCUUUUUAAAACGCAAACGUCGACACUGGAACCACG